rnacentral:misc_RNA from 1 species
UUAAGUUCAGCGGGUAUCCCUACCUGAUCCGAGGUCAAUCAUUGAAAUAAAUGGGGUUGUCUGGCAAGCCACGGGGCGAACUUUCAAAGCGGGAUGACAAUUUACUACGCUUAAAGUCACACCGAGCCGCCACUGCUUUUCGGGCACGCCCCGGGGGGCGAGGACCCAAUACCAAGCUACGCUUGAGGGGUGUAAUGACG